CCUACGUGAGGCAGCAGUGAGGAAUAUUGGUCAAUGGGCGCGAGCCUGAACCAGCCAAGUAGCGUGAAGGAUGACUGCCCUACGGGUUGUAAACUUCUUUUAUAAAGGAAUAAAGUGAGGCACGUGUGCCUUUUUGUAUGUACUUUAUGAAUAAGGAUCGGCUAACUCCGUGCCAGCAGCAGCGGUAAGACGGAGGAUACGAGCGUUAUCCGGAUUUAUUGGGGUUAAAGGGAGCGUAGAUGGGUUGUUAAGUCAGUUGUGAAAGUUUGCGGCUCAACCGGAAAAUUGCAAUUGAUACUGGCAGUCUUGAGGACAGUUGAGGUAGGCGGAAUUCGUGGUGUAGCGGUGAAAUGCUUAGAUAUCACGAAGAACUCCGAUUGCGAAGGCAGCUUACUAAACUGCCACUGACAUUGAUGCUCGAAAGUGUGGGUAUCAAACAGGAUUAGAUACCCGUGUAGUC
rnacentral:rRNA from 1 species